rnacentral:tRNA from 1 species
GGGGUUGUGGCUCAGUGGUAGAGCGCUUGCCUAGCAUGUGUGAGUCCCUGGGUUCGAUCCCCAGCACCACA